rnacentral:rRNA from 1 species
CCUACGGGGCGCAGCAGUGAGGAAUAUUGGUCAAUGGACGGAAGUCUGAACCAGCCAUGCCGCGUGCAGGAAGACGGCUCUAUGAGUUGUAAACUGCUUUUGUACAAGGGUAAACCUGAAUACGUGUAUUCAGCUGAAAGUACUGUACGAAUAAGGAUCGGCUAACUCCGUGCCAGCAGCAGCGGUAAUACGGAGGAUCCAAGCGUUAUCCGGAUUUAUUGGGUUUAAAGGGUGCGUAGGCGGAUGGAUAAGUUAGAGGUGAAAUUGCCGAGCUUAACUCGGGAACUGCCUCUAAUACUGGUGAUCUAGAGAGUAGAUGAGGUAGGCGGAAUGUAUGGUGUAGCGGUGAAAUGCUUAGAGAUCAUACAGAACACCGAUUGCGAAGGCAGCUUACCAAUCUAUAUCUGACGUUGAGGCACGAAAGCGUGGGGAGCAAACAGGAUUAGAUACCCCUGUAGUC